AACGAACGCUGGCGGCAUGCCUAACACAUGCAAGUCGAACGAGACCUUCGGGUCUAGUGGCGCACGGGUGCGUAACGCGUGGGAACCUGCCCUUAGGUUCGGAAUAACUCCCCGAAAGGGGUGCUAAUACCGGAUAAUGUCUUCGGACCAAAGAUUUAUCGCCUUUGGAUGGGCCCGCGUUGGAUUAGCUAGUUGGUAGGGUAAAAGCCUACCAAGGCGACGAUCCAUAGCUGGUCUGAGAGGAUGAUCAGCCACACUGGUACUGAGACACGGCCCAGACUCCUACGGGAGGCAGCAGUGGGGAAUAUUGGACAAUGGGCGAAAGCCUGAACCAGCAAUGACGCGUGAGUGAUGAAGGCCUUAGGGUUGUAAAGCUCUUUUACCCGGGAUGAUAAUGACAGUACCGGGAGAAUAAGCUCCGGCUAACUCCGUG
rnacentral:rRNA from 1 species